rnacentral:rRNA from 1 species
AAAUGAAUUGACGGGGACCCACACAAGCGGUGGAGCAUCUGGUUUAAUUCGACAAUAAGCGGAAAACCUCACCAAGACUUGACAUCCCGGGAAGACUGCCGAAAGGUGGUUGUGCCGCAAGGAACCCGGUGACAGGUGCUGCAUGGUUGUCGUCAGCUCGUGCCUUGAGGUGUUCGGUUAAGUCCGUAAACGAGCGCAACCCAUGUCAUGUGUUGUAUUUUUCACAUGAGACUGCCGGCUUCAAGUCGGAGGAAGGUAUGGAUGACGUCAAAUCAGCAUGGCCCUUAUGUCUUGGGCUACACAGGUGCUACAAUGGUUGGUACAAAGGGCUGCCAAGAAGUAAUUCGGAGCAAAUCCCAAAAGCCAAUCUAAGUUCGGAUUGAGGGCUGAAAUUCGCCCUCAUGAAGCUGGAAUCGCUAGUAACCGUAAAUCAGCAUGUUACGGUGAAUAUGUUCCUGGGUCUUGUACACACCGCCCGU